CUCUUCCCAUCUAAGAAGGCUGCUGGAGCUGGCAAGGUCACCAAGUCUGCCCAGAAAGCUCAGAAGGCUAAAUGAAUAUUACUUCUAAUACCUGCCACCCCAGUUUUAAUCAGUGGUGGAAGAAAGAUCUUAGAACUAUUUGUUUCAA